AUGAAAAAGGAACCCUCUGCUGAGUUCAGCGACACCUUACAGAAGACUAUACCUUAAACGAUUCAAAUGUUAUGAAAGGGUGCGUGGCUUAUGCAUAGGGGACGGGUCAAACCAUCACCAAU